rnacentral:rRNA from 1 species
UACGGAGGGUGCGAGCGUUGUCCGGAAUCACUGGGCGUAAAGGGUGCGUAGGCGGGUCUUUAAGUCAGGGGUGAAAUCCUGGAGCUCAACUCCAGAACUGCCUUUGAUACUGAGGAUCUUGAGUUCGGGAGAGGUGAGUGGAACUGCGAGUGUAGAGGUGAAAUUCGUAGAUAUUCGCAAGGACACCAGUGGCGAAGGCGGCUCACUGGCCCGAUACUGACGCUGAGGCACGAAAGCGUGGGGAGCAAACAGG